rnacentral:rRNA from 1 species
GACGAACGCUGGCGGCGUGCUUAACACAUGCAAGUCGAACGGAAAGGCCCUGCUUUUGUGGUGUGCUCGAGUGGCGAACGGGUGAGUAACACGUGAGUAACCUGCCCUUGACUUUGGGAUAACUUCAGGAAACUGGGGCUAAUACCUUAUAGGAGCUCCUGCUGCAUGGUGGGGGUUGGAUAGUUUCGGCGGUUGGGGAUGGACUCGCGGCUUAUCAGCUUGUUGGUGGGGUAGUGGCUUACCAAGGCUUUGACGGGUAGCCGGCCUGAGAGGGUGACCGGCCACAUUGGGACUGAGGUACGGCCCAGACUCCUACGGGAGGCAGCAGUGGGGAAUAUUGCACAAUGGGCGGAAGCCUGAUGCAGCAACGCCGCGUGCGGGAUGACGGCCUUCGGGUUGUAAACCGCUUUCGCCUGUGACGAAGCGUGAGUGACGGUAAUGGGUAAAGAAGCACCGGCUAACUACGUG